AUUGAACGCUGGCGGCAGGCCUAACACAUGCAAGUCGAGCGGAUGAAGGGAGCUUGCUCCUGGAUUCAGCGGCGGACGGGUGAGUAAUGCCUAGGAAUCUGCCUGGUAGUGGGGGAUAACGUCCGGAAACGGGCGCUAAUACCGCAUACUUCCUGAGGGAGAAAGUGGGGGAUCUUCGGACCUCACGCUAUCAGAUGAGCCUAGGUCGGAUUAGCUAGUUGGUGGGGUAAAGGCCUACCAAGGCGACGAUCCAUAACUGGUCUGAGAGGAUGAUCAGUCGCACUGGAACUGAGACACGGUCCAGACUCCUACGGGAGGCAGCAGUGGGGAAUAUUGGACAAUGGGCGAAAGCCUGAUCCAGCCAUGCCGCGUGUGUGAAGAAGGUCUUCGGAUUGUAAAGCACUUUAAGUUGGGAGGAAGGGCAGUAAGUUAAUACCUUGCUGUUUUGACGUUACCAACAGAAUAAGCACCGGCUAACUUCGUG
rnacentral:rRNA from 1 species